rnacentral:rRNA from 1 species
AACGAACGCUGGCGGCAGGCUUAACACAUGCAAGUCGAGCGCCCCGCAAGGGGAGCGGCAGACGGGUGAGUAACGCGUGGGAAUCUACCCUUCACUACGGAACAACUCCGGGAAACUGGAGCUAAUACCGUAUACGUCCUUCGGGAGAAAGAUUUAUCGGUGAUGGAUGAGCCCGCGUUGGAUUAGCUAGUUGGUGGGGUAAUGGCCUACCAAGGCGACGAUCCAUAGCUGGUCUGAGAGGAUGAUCAGCCACAUUGGGACUGAGACACGGCCCAAACUCCUACGGGAGGCAGCAGUGGGGAAUAUUGGACAAUGGGCGAAAGCCUGAUCCAGCCAUGCCGCGUGAGUGAUGAAGGCCCUAGGGUUGUAAAGCUCUUUCUCCGGUGAAGAUAAUGACGGUAACCGGAGAAGAAGCCCCGGCUAACUUCGUGCCAGCAGCCGCGGUAAAAC